rnacentral:rRNA from 1 species
UACAGAGACUGCAAGCGUUAUUCGGAUUCACUGGGCGUAAAGGGUGCGCAGGCGGCCGAGUGUGUGAGGCGUGAAAGCCCGGGGCUUAACCCCGGAAUUGCACCUCAAACUACACGGCUAGAGCAUUGGAGAGGGUAGCAGAAUUCGACGGUGUAGCAGUGAAAUGCGUAGAUAUCGAUGAGGAAUACCAGAGGCGAAGGCGGCUACCUGGACAAGUUG